rnacentral:sRNA from 1 species
CUAAAAAAUAAAUGUCUGAACAUAUGACUGCUAUAAUGAUUUCAGCAUUUAACUGAGAUA